GACGAACGCUGGCGGCGUGCUUAACACAUGCAAGUCGAGCGGAGCGGCGAAAGGGUGAGUAACGCGUGAGUAACUGCCCCCCUCUCUGGGAUAGCAGUUGGAAACGGCUGCUAAUACCGGAUAGUGGGGGAUGACUCGCGACCUAUCAGCUUGUUGGUGGGGUAGUGGCCUACCAAGGCGACGAAGGAUAGCCGGCCUGUGAGGGCGAGCGGCCACAUUGGGCUGGGCGACGACUCGAACUCCUACGGGUGGCAUCGGGGUGGAAUAUUGCACAAUGGUGGAAACCCUGGUGCAGCGCUCCGCGGGCGGGAGGACGGCCUUGGGGUUGUAAACCGCUUUCAGCCAUGACGCGGUGGUGGCAGAAUAAGCACCGGCUAACUACGUGCCAGCAGCCGCGGUAAUAC
rnacentral:rRNA from 1 species